rnacentral:rRNA from 1 species
ACACCGGCGGCCCGAGUGGUGAUCGUGAUUAUUGGGUCUAAAGGGUCCGUAGCCGGUUUGGUCAGUCCUCCGGGAAAUCUGAUAGCUCAACUAUUAGGCUUUCGGGGGAUACUGCCAGACUUGGAACCGGGAGAGGUAAGAGAUACUACAGGGGUAGGAGUGAAAUCUUGUAAUCCCUGUGGGACCACCUGUGGCGAAGGCGUCUUACCAGAACGGGUUCGACGGUGAGGGACGAAAGCUGGGGGCACGAACCGGAUUAGAUACCCGGGUAGUCCCAGCCGUAAACGAUGCUCGCUAGGUGUCAGGCAUGGCGCGACCGUGUCUGGUGCCGCAGGGAAGCCGUGAAGCGAGCCACCUGGGAAGUACGGCCGCAAGGCUGAAACUUAAAGGAAUUGACGGGG